AUGCCAUGAUGUGGGCAUUUCCUUAGUAAUUCCUUGUACCUCUCCCAAGAAUCAGAAACUACUUCAUCGUCCAGUUGUUUAAAAAGAAAAUUUUUAUUUACGAACUU